rnacentral:rRNA from 1 species
ACGAACGCUGGCGGCGUGCUUAACACGUGCAAGUCGAGCGGUAAGGCCUUUCGGGGUACACGAGCGGCGAACGGGUGAGUAACACGUGGGUGAUCUGCCCUGCACUUCGGGAUAAGCCUGGGAAACUGGGUCUAAUACCGGAUAUGACCUCCUAUCGCAUGGUGGGUGGUGGAAAGAUUUAUCGGUGCAGGAUGGGCCCGCGGCCUAUCAGCUUGUUGGUGGGGUAAUGGCCUACCAAGGCGACGACGGGUAGCCGACCUGAGAGGGUGACCGGCCACACUGGGACUGAGACACGGCCCAGACUCCUACGGGAGGCAGCAGUGGGGAAUAUUGCACAAUGGGCGAAAGCCUGAUGCAGCGACGCCGCGUGAGGGAUGACGGCCUUCGGGUUGUAAACCUCUUUCAGCAGGGACGAAGCGCAAGUGACGGUACCUGCAGAAGAAGCACCGGCUAACUACGUG